rnacentral:rRNA from 1 species
GACGAACGCUGGCGGCGUGCUUAACACAUGCAAGUCGAACGGAGCGAAUGAAAGCUUGCUUUUAUAAGCUUAGUGGCAAACGGGUGAGUAACACGUAGGCAACCUGCCGACAGGAUGGGGACAACAUUCCGAAAGGAAUGCUAAUACCGAAUGAAGUCGAGGGAGGGCAUCCUCCUCCGAUGAAAGAUGGCCUCUAUAUAUAAGCUAUCACCUGUCGAUGGGCCUGCGUCUGAUUAGCUGGUAGGUGAGGUAACGGCUCACCUAGGCGACGAUCAGUAGCCGGUCUGAGAGGAUGAACGGCCACAUUGGGACUGAGACACGGCCCAGACUCCUACGGGAGGCAGCAGUGGGGAAUCUUCCGCAAUGGGCGCAAGCCUGACGGAGCAACGCCGCGUGAGUGAAGAAGGUCUUCGGAUCGUAAAGCUCUGUUGAUGGGGACGAACGUGCCUAAUGCGAAUAGUAUUAGGUAAUGACGGACCCAUCGAGAAGCCA